rnacentral:rRNA from 1 species
GACGAACGCUGGCGGCGUGCCUAAUACAUGCAAGUAGAACGCUGAAGGAGGAGCUUGCUUCUCUGGAUGAGUUGCGAACGGGUGAGUAACGCGUAGGUAACCUGCCUGGUAGCGGGGGAUAACUAUUGGAAACGAUAGCUAAUACCGCAUAAGAGUAGAUGUUGCAUGACAUUUGCUUAAAAGGUGCAAUUGCAUCACUACCAGAUGGACCUGCGUUGUAUUAGCUAGUUGGUGGGGUAACGGCUCACCAAGGCGACGAUACAUAGCCGACCUGAGAGGGUGAUCGGCCAAACUGGGACUGAGACACGGCCCAGACUCCUACGGGAGGCAGCAGUAGGGAAUCUUCGGCAAUGGACGGAAGUCUGACCGGGCAACGCCGCGUGAGUGAAGAAGGUUUUCGGAUCGUAAAGCUCUGUUGUAAGAGAAGAACGAGUGUGAGAGUGGAAAGUUCACACUGUGACGGUAUCUUACCAGAAAGGGACGGCUAACUACGUG